rnacentral:lncRNA from 1 species
AUACUACGGUUUAUCUCUUUCAUAAGAUAAACCAAUUUAAUUAAAGAGAAAUGAUUACUGCAGCAUUCGGAUCCGGUUCUCGUUUCCCGCCAAUCAACGUCACAUGACUCGUCAGCAUUACAUUGCACUAGCCACUCUUGUAGCCAGAUAUGUAAAAGUUUCAAAAAUGUAAUCGUGAAAAAUCAUUGACAUCCGCAUAUCAUAUUCCAAUAUUUAAAUAUGAAACUAUCGAAGAGACAAGGUAAUUCUACAAUAAAGGAUUUUCAUUUGAAAGGACCAGCAAAUGACGAAAUUAAAAGGUAAACCGAACUGUCACCACACGAUACGAUGCCAUCAACACGAGGAACACCUCCAUGCAGCUUCUUUCGACAUGUUUGGAUGUGUAAAGAUCAUUGAACAAUUCAAUUAAUGAACCUUCGCCAUAAAACUUAUACAAUGCACGAAUGACAGACAGCUUCCAAUUUGUAAGUCACAGUGGCUCAUUAACCGGUGUUCAAUUUAAUGGCAGAACAAAAUCUUCACACCAGGAGCCCCCAUUUAUAAUUCCACACGGCACAAGAUGCACAAGGAAAACACGAUUCAAAAGAAGGAGAACCACUGA